ensembl:lncRNA
GAAACACAUGUCUUUUGUCAGCUGAAAAAGCCUACCACAACGGAGUGGAUGUCUGGAAACUCAGGCUUUUGCAGACAGUGGGCUGAGUAGAGGAAUCAGUGAUACAGCUUCGUCUGCAAUGCUAGGGCCAGACAGGAGGUGAUUCAACCUGUGACCAGGCAUAGUAGAAGCCUAGCAGUCUGAAGCAGAUAAAAAAAUAAGAAUGAGCAAUAUGUUGAAAAGACAAUUAUAUAAACAAUGAACAUUAGUGCACAACAACAUAAUCCAGUCCCAAGAUCCGAUGAAUAGCUGCAUGCUUCAAAGACUCUGGGAAUGUCAGGCAACAAAAAAGUAUACUCCGGUCACCAUCCAGCAACCUUGAAUAUGGAUCUGAUGUCCUACAUGUCUCAAAAUGCUUUGGAGAUCAGGACCCCAUGGCCAUCGUGUUAGGGCUAUCACUUUUGAUGGAGAUGCUGUAGAGCUCCAGAGAUGACUCUGAUGAGUGGAAGCAGGUCCUUACCUCAUUGCAGUGGAAAUAAUAAUCAUAGUUCAAAAAUGGAAUUAGAAUCUGUCUGAGAUUGAAAUUGCAGUUGUGCCCCACUCAUAUUUACAAGCAAUGCUUCCAUUUCUAACACUUCAUGACACAGGAUUUUAGUAAUCCACAUGUUCUAUAUGGAACAUUACCAUAUAAUCCAUAGUUUUGACCUGCCCUAUAUUUCAUAUGUCAAAAGCAG